rnacentral:rRNA from 1 species
UACGAACGGAGCAGGUGUUAUUCAGAUUCACUGGGCGUAAAGGGUGCGUAGGUGGUUUGUUAUGUGUACUCUAAAAUUAUAAAGCAUAACUUUAUACUGUAGUGUAGACAACUAAACUAGAGUUAGGUAGAGGGUAGUAGAAUUUCUAGUGUAAAGGUGAAAUUCGUAGAUAUCGGGAGGAACACCAGUGGCGAAGGCGGCGAUCUGGGAAGAUACUGACGCUGAGGUGCGAAAGCGUGGGGAGCAAACAGG